GGAAGGGGAGUGAAAUAGUUCUUGAAACCGUGUGCUUACAAGAAGUUCGAGGCCGUUAAUGGCUGAGAGCGUGCUUUUUGUAGAAUGAACCGGAGAGUUACGAUUGCGUGCAAGGUUAAGGUGCAAAGACUGGAGCCGUAGCGAAAGCGAGUCUUAAUAGGGCGAAUCAGUACGUAGUUGUAGACCCGAAACCGAGUGACCUAUCCAUGGUCAGGUUGAAGGUGGGGUAAUACCUACUGGAGGACCGAACAAGUGGGUGUUAAAAAACCCUUUGAUGAACUGUGGAUAGCGGUGAAAUUCCAAUCGAACUCGGAGAUAGCUGGUUCUAUCCGAAAUACAUUUAGGUGUAGCCUUGCAAUUAGCUUACUGGAGGUAGAGCACUAUUUGGUCUAGGGGCCCUUCAAGGGUUACCAAAAUCAGAUAAACUCCGAAUGCCAGCUAAGUAUGUGCAGGAGUCAGACGGUGAGUGAUAAGAUCCAUCGUCGAAAGGGGAACAGCCCAGAUCACCAGUUAAGGUCCCUAAAUAUAUGCUAAGUGGAAAACGUUGUGAAGGUGCAUAGACAACUAGGAGGUUGGCUCAGAAGCAGCCACCCUUUAAAGAGUGCGUAAUAGCUCACUAGUCGAGUGCUCUUGCGCGGAUAAUGUACCGGGGCUAAGCAUAUUACCGAAACUGUGGAUGCGUAAGCAUGGUAGGAUAGCGUAAUUAACGCGAUGAAGGAUGACCGUAAGGACAUGUUGGAGCGUUAACUAGUGAGAAUUCCGGUAUGAGUAGCGAAAGAUAGGUGAGAAUCCUAUCCACCGAAUGAGUAAGGUUUCCCCCGGAAGGCUCGUCCGCGGGGGGUUAGUCGGGACCUAAGGCGAGGCUGAAAAGCGUAGUCGAUGGACAACAGGUUGAUAUUCCUGUACCGAUAUUUAAUUGCCGAAGGAAGGACGCAGAAGGAUAACACAGGCCACUAUUGGAUGUGGUUUUAAACAGUUAGUCUUCAUAAGAGUCAAAUGCUUUUAUGUUUAAGGAUAAGCUGUGAAUGUACCAAGUUUACUUGGAAAUUGUGUGAUUUCACGCUGCUGAAAAAAGUUUCGUAGGAAGAAAAUAUUGCCCGUACCGCAAACCGACACAGGUACUCGAGUGGAGAACACUAAGGUGAGCGAGUGAACUAUUGUUAAGGAACUCUGCAAAAUGAGUCCGUAACUUCGGAAGAAGGACUGCUGGUUUUAUACCAGCCGCAGCAAAUAGGCCCAAACAACUGUUUAUCAAAAACACAGGUUUCUGCAAAAUCGUAAGAUGAAGUAUAGGGGCUGACGCCUGCCCAGUGCUGGAA
rnacentral:rRNA from 1 species